UACGUAGGGGGCAAGCGUUGUCCGGAUUUAUUGGGCGUAAAGAGCGUGUAGGCUGCCAAGCAGGUCCGCUGUGAAAACUCGAGGCUCAACCUCGAGACGUCGGUGGAAACCGUUUGGCUAGAGUCCGGAAGAGGAGAGUGGAAUUCCCGGUGUAGCGGUGAAAUGCGCAGAUAUCGGGAGGAACACCAGUGGCGAAGGCGGUUACCUGGAGCUUUGCUGACGCUGAUGCGCGAAAGCGUGGGGAGCGAACAGG
rnacentral:rRNA from 1 species